rnacentral:rRNA from 1 species
CAGCAGCCGCGGUAAUACGGAGGGUGCAAGCGUUACUCGGAAUUACUGGGCGUAAAGCGUGCGUAGGUGGUGGUUUAAGUCCGUUGUGAAAGCCCUGGGCUCAACCUGGGAAUUGCAGUGGAUACUGGGUCACUAGAGUGUGGUAGAGGAUAGUGGAAUUUCCGGUGUAGCAGUGAAAUGCGUAGAGAUCGGAAGGAACAUCUGUGGCGAAGGCGACUAUCUGGGCCAACACUGACACUGAGGCACGAAAGCGUGGGGAGCAAACAGGAUUAGAUACCCGAGUAGUCCCUGUCUCUUAUAC